rnacentral:rRNA from 1 species
AGUGAACGCUGGCGGUAGGCCUAACACAUGCAAGUCGAACGGCAGCACAGUAAGAGCUUGCUCUUACGGGUGGCGAGUGGCGGACGGGUGAGGAAUACAUCGGAAUCUACUUUUUCGUGGGGGAUAACGUAGGGAAACUUACGCUAAUACCGCAUACGACCUACGGGUGAAAGCAGGGGAUCUUCGGACCUUGCGCGAUUGAAUGAGCCGAUGUCGGAUUAGCUAGUUGGCGGGGUAAAGGCCCACCAAGGCGACGAUCCGUAGCUGGUCUGAGAGGAUGAUCAGCCACACUGGAACUGAGACACGGUCCAGACUCCUACGGGAGGCAGCAGUGGGGAAUAUUGGACAAUGGGCGCAAGCCUGAUCCAGCCAUACCGCGUGGGUGAAGAAGGCCUUCGGGUUGUAAAGCCCUUUUGUCGGGAAAGAAAAGCAGCAGGUUAAUACCCCGCUGUUCUGACGGUACCCAAAGAAUAAGCACCGGCUAACUUCGU